GGUCGAUUAACUCAGUUGGUUCAGAGUGCCUGCCUUACAAGCAGGUGGUCGCUGGUUCGAGUCCAGCAUCGACCACCA
rnacentral:tRNA from 1 species